rnacentral:rRNA from 1 species
UGGAUCCACACUUUGAUUAUGGCUCAGGAUGAACGCUGGCGGCGUGCCUAAUACAUGCAAGUCGAACGAAACUUCUUUAUCACCGAGUGCUUGCACUCACCGAUAAAGAGUUGAGUGGCGAACGGGUGAGUAACACGUGGGCAACCUGCCCAAAAGAGGGGGAUAACACUUGGAAACAGGUGCUAAUACCGCAUAACCAUAGUUACCGCAUGGCAACUAUGUAAAAGGUGGCUAUGCUACCGCUUUUGGAUGGGCCCGCGGCGCAUUAGCUAGUUGGUGGGGUAAAGGCUUACCAAGGCAAUGAUGCGUAGCCGAACUGAGAGGUUGAUCGGCCACAUUGGGACUGAGACACGGCCCAAACUCCUACGGGAGGCAGCAGUAGGGAAUCUUCCACAAUGGGCGAAAGCCUGAUGGAGCAACGCCGCGUGGGUGAAGAAGGUCUUCGGAUCGUAAAACCCUGUUGUUAGAGAAGAAAGUGCGUGAGAGUAACUGUUCACGUUUCGACGGUAUCUAACCAGAAAGCCACGGCUAACUACGUGCCAGCAGCCGCGGUAAUACGUAGGUGGCAAGCGUUAUCCGGAUUUAUUGGGCGUAAAGGGAACGCAGGCGGUCUUUUAAGUCUGAUGUGAAAGCCUUCGGCUUAACCGGAGUAGUGCAUUGGAAACUGGGAGACUUGAGUGCAGAAGAGGAGAGUGGAACUCCAUGCGUAGCGGUGAAAUGCGUAGAUAUAUGGAAGAACACCAGUGGCGAAAGCGGCUCUCUGGUCUGUAACUGACGCUGAGGUUCGAAAGCGUGGGUAGCAAACAGGAUUAGAUACCCUGGUAGUCCACGCCGUAAACGAUGAAUGCUAAGUGUUGGAGGGUUUCCGCCCUUCAGUGCUGCAGCUAACGCAAUAAGCAUUCCGCCUGGGGAGUACGACCGCAAGGUUGCAACUCAAAGGAAUUGACGGA